UUGAGGAAGGGCGUUUGUGAUUGGUGGGUUCUGCCGCGGCCGGGAAGUUCGAACAGAAGUCUGGGGAAGAGCCGGCGAAGAGCAAAGAGAUAAUACAGUACUCCCAGCUAUAGCAAGCGGCAGUUAUGGAGCAUGCGCAGCAGCAGGGGCGGCCGCAGGUCGCCGUUCAAUAAUACUCAAGGGAUUUGUACAGCCCUGUAGGAGACACCUCCAGAGAAAGUAACAGCUCUCAAUUGAUUAGCUGAGAGAGCAGAGAAGAGGAGAAGCAGCUGGAUGUCAGAGACUGCAGUUUGACGUUGGAGAAAAGCAGCUUGACUUCAGAGGGACAGCUUGACAGCAUGGAUUCAGAGAGGAGAAGAUCACCUUCCUGCUCCGUCCCCUUUCCAGCUCCCUUUCCCACUGAGAGCCACUUACACAGGCAAUAAAAUCCUCUGCAUUCACCACCCUUCAAUUCAUUCAUGCAACCUGAUUUUUUUCUGGAUGCUGAACAUGAGCUCAGGUACCAUGGGUGCAGAUGCAAAAGGCUGUCACACUGACCCUGUGCCCUUGCUGGCAGAAAGCAGCUGCCUCAUGCAAAAAGGCAGAGGGCCACUGAGCUGUCAACACG
rnacentral:lncRNA from 1 species